rnacentral:rRNA from 1 species
UGCUACGUGCGUGCCGGAGGCCGGGGUAAGACGAAGGCUGCAAGCGUUAUCCUGAUUCAUGGGGGUUAAAGGGUGCGUAGGCGGACUUGUAAGUCAGGGGUGAAAUCUCUUUGCUUAACAAAGAAACUGCCAUUGAUACUGCUAGUCUAGAGUAUAGAUGACGUUGGCGGAAUAUGACAUGUAGUGGUGAAAUACUUAGAUAUGUCAUAGAACAUCGAUUGCGAAGGCAGCUGACUGGACCUGAAUUGACGCUGAGGCACGAAAGCGUGGGGAGCGAACAGGAUUAGAUACCCUAGUAGUC